UGCUACUGAUUCCUCACACCCAGAUGGUAGU
rnacentral:piRNA from 1 species